UACAGAGGGUGCAAGCGUUGUUCGGAAUUAUUGGGCGUAAAGAGCUCGUAGGCGGUCUGUCGCGUCGGCUGUGAAAACUCGGGGCUCAACUCCGAGCUUGCAGUCGAUACGGGCAGGCUAGAGUUCGGCAGGGGAGACUGGAAUUCCUGGUGUAGCGGUGAAAUGCGCAGAUAUCAGGAGGAACACCGGUGGCGAAGGCGGGUCUCUGGGAAGUAACUGACGCUGAGAAGCGAAAGCAUGGGUAGCAAACAGG
rnacentral:rRNA from 1 species